UGGGGAAUAUUGGACAAUGGGCGAAAGCCUGAUCCAGCCAUGCCGCGUGUGUGAAGAAGGUCUUCGGAUUGUAAAGCACUUUAAGUUGGGAGGAAGGGCAGUAAGCGAAUACCUUGCUGUUUUGACGUUACCGACAGAAUAAGCACCGGCUAACUCUGUGCCAGCAGCCGCGGUAAUACAGAGGGUGCAAGCGUUAAUCGGAAUUACUGGGCGUAAAGCGCGCGUAGGUGGUUCGUUAAGUUGAAUGUGAAAGCCCCGGGCUCAACCUGGGAACUGCAUCCAAAACUGGCGAGCUAGAGGAGGGCAGAGGGUGGUGGAAUUUCCUGUGUAGCGGUGAAAUGCGUAGAUAUAGGAAAGAACACCAGUGGCGAAGGCGACCACCUGGGCUCAUACUGACACUGAGGUGCGAAAGCGUGGGGAGCAAACAGG
rnacentral:rRNA from 1 species